rnacentral:lncRNA from 1 species
ACAAAAUAAUUUAGCGCUACCACUUUGCCUAUGAGGCGUUGAACUUCCUUGAUAUUCCUGGGCGAACUCAUCUCUUAUAUAGUCCAAAUCUUUGUAAGGUUGGCCUCAAUCCCCCAAUUGGAUAGCAUGAAGCCCAGAAAUCUGUCCGACUUAACUCUGAAAGCACAUUUGAUUGGAUUCGGCUUCAUUUUGUAUUUCCUUAAGGUGGCAAAGAUCUCCUCG